CAGUGUUAGCUUUAGUGUCAAUAGAACUUGCACUGAAAUAUUCAACUUUUUUCCCACAGCCCUGGACAACUUUCAGGAAGACAGUUCUGGUCUGUAGCAAUUAACACAUGGUCAUCCUCAGAAAAAGGAGAUACCCAUAACUUAAAAUGCAGGAACCAAGAGAUUUGAGCCUAGACAUUUGGAUGAAAAGCGAUUUCCACCUGGAGAAAGUCACUGCCCUUCUGUGCAGAGCCCAGAAAUAAGGCACAGGUUUGGAAGUGCCUCUGUUUGACCCUGGUGUUUGGUUCUCUCCCUCACAUACAGGGAACAUGAAGGAGAACCCACCUCUGCUGCUUUUGAAGUGCAGUGGCUUUCACUUGGAAUGGACAUCUUUACGGGUGGCACUGGGGGCUGUGCAGAGAGGACCAGGGAGAAAUUCCAGACUUCUCAGGUUCUGCCUCUGAGACAGACAGUGGUGGGAAACACAAACAAUAAAAAUCCUUGGUUCCACUUUCCUCAUCCCUUCCGGGCAAAUGGAAUCAAAUGAGGGUGAGGGUGGCUGGGGAAUAAAGCAGGGUGAGUGAAGAGAUGGGGGACUGCUCUUAGAAGCAGUGUCUGAACUCCACCCCCUCCAGGAUGAACUGGAAAGUGCUUCUUCUCCUCCCUCCCUUGACUGAUGGCUAUGGGAACUUUAGAUGGGGAAAUACGGAUAUACUGAUCUCUCAACCAAAUGUAAUUUGUAUUAAGAAUUAAGAGUUCACAAGUUAUUCUCUGUCUCUCUCUCUUUUUUUUUUUUUAAAGAAACAGCCUUGCCAUAUUUCUCACAGUACCAUUGUGUCUUGAAUCCAGCUUGGCCAUAAGGAAAUGGGGCGAGACUUUGUCAUGUAUGUCGCUGAAGUUCAGCUAUGCAAAAAUGUUCACCUAUCCUUGAUCAACCAGUCCAGGAACCAUCAAAGAAGAAAAUGAGAUUCGACUUAGAAGACCUGUUCUUUAUAAACCCCUGCACAGCCCUAAUGAUCAACACCACUUCCAGUGCUCAUAAAUUACUGCUUCAAUAAUUGUUCUGCAAUUCUGCCUAUUCUCAUUGAAU
rnacentral:lncRNA from 10 species